GGUUCCAUAGUGUAGCGGUUAGCAUGUCUGCUUUACAUGCAGAAGGUUCUGGGUUCAUGCCCCAGUGGAGCCC
rnacentral:tRNA from 1 species